rnacentral:rRNA from 1 species
UACAGAGGUCUCAAGCGUUUGUUCGGAUUCAUUGGGCGUAAAGCGCGCGUAGGCGGCCCGGUAAGUCCGCUGUAAAAGUCAAAGGCUCAACCUUUGAAUGUCAGUGGAUACUGCCGGGCUAGAGUCCGGAAGAGGCGAGUGGAACUCCUGGUGGUAGCGGUGGAAUGCGCAGAUAUCAGGAAGAACACCGACGGCGAAGGCAGCUCGCUGGGACGGUACUGACGCUGAGGCGCGAAAGCGUGGGGAGCGAACAGG